UACGUAGGGGCGCAAGCGUUUGUCCGGAAUUAUUGGGCGUAAAGAGCUCGUAGGUGGCGUGUCGCGUCUGCCGUGAAAGCCCAUGGCUUAACUGUGGGUCUGCGGUGGAUACGGGCAGGCUAGAGGCUGGUAGGGGCAAGCGGAAUUCCUGGUGUAGCGGUGAAAUGCGCAGAUAUCAGGAGGAACACCGGUGGCGAAGGCGGCUUGCUGGGCCAGUUCUGACGCUGAGGGAGCGAAAAGCGUGGGGGAGCGAACAGG
rnacentral:rRNA from 1 species